rnacentral:rRNA from 1 species
UACGAAGGGGGCUAGCGUUGCUCGGAAUUACUGGGCGUAAAGCGCACGUAGGCGGCUUUCUAAGUCGGGGGUGAAAACCAGGUGCUUAACACCUGGCUUGCUUUCGAUACGGGCAGACUAGAGGUAUUCAGGGGAGAACGGAAUUCCUGGUGUAGCGGUGAAAUGCGCAGAUAUCAGGAGGAACACCGAUGGCGAAGGCAGGUCUCUGGGCAUUAACUGACGCUGAGGAGCGAAAGCAUGGGGAGCGAACAGGA